GGUAAGAUGGUCGAGAAUAUAGGCGAUAGACUGUAAAUCUAUAUAGGAGGUAUUUAAUUCCUCUUUUACCA
rnacentral:tRNA from 1 species